UACGGAGGGGGCUAGCGUUGUUCGGAAUGACUGGGCGUAAAGCGCGCGUAGGCGGAUCAUGCAAGUCAGGGGUGAAAUCCCGGGGCUCAACCCUGGAAUGGCCUUUGAGACUGCUGGUCUUGAGUUCGAGAGAGGUGAGUGGAAUUCCGAGUGUAGAGGUGAAAUUCGUAGAUAUUCGGAGGAACGCCAGUGGCGAAGGCGGCUCACUGGCUCGACACUGACGCUGAGGUGCGAAAGCGUGGGGAGCAAACAGG
rnacentral:rRNA from 1 species